ensembl:snRNA U7 U7 small nuclear RNA
GAGUGUUACAGCUUACUUAAUUUGUCUAGCAGGCUUUCUGGUUUUUGCUGGAAAGCCGAA